GUCCCUGUAGCGCAAUGGAUAGCGCGGGUUGGACUUCUAAUCCAAAGGUCGUGGGUUUGAAUCCCCCCUGGGAUA